rnacentral:lncRNA from 1 species
AAGCAUUUUUGGGCCCCUCCCUGCACCAGGCACAGUGCCCUGGUGGUGAACACCUCCCGACUCACCCGCCCUCCCAGGAAGUUGACCUGCCUGGGCCUGCCCUCUGAUCUCACCCCUUCAUCGAGAGCGGGCAUGACCGUUCCCAUUUCACGGACGAGGAGACUGAGGCCAGAGAGAGAAAGAGAGCAGGGCCCUGUUACUCCAGAUGGGUGGCUGCCCCACAGGUCUCAGGGCAGAUGCUCUAAGAGGGGGUAGGUGGUGACUGGGGUGUGGCCAGUCCCACCAGAGAUCUGCCUGCCCCAGACCUCAUAACCCCAGGCUUUUCUAUGAAAAGCUCCCUGUGAAGCUGGGCCCAGCUGCACUCCAAUCCUCUUGCCCUGACCUUCUCUGAGCCUCAGUUUUCUCGUCUUGGCAAUGGAGAUGUUUGUUCGAAAGACCGUCCACCUCCCUCCCCUUUGGCAGCACACGUGGCCUUAUCUGCGGGCCCAUCUCACACCAGGCCUGUGGGACCGGAAGGGGGUUGCAGGGCCACUGAGCCAGUGCCUCGCAGAGGCUGAGUCCCCUUCUCAGGCCUGAAGACCCCAGAGACUGGAAGCCCCAAGCGCAGCUGCCCCACCAGUGCCCCACAUGCAGCCUGCUCUCCUCCCGGCUCCUGGGCCCCCGGGGAGCUGUUUGCAGUCAGGAUUCCUUCCUCCUCUGUCUGCCAGCGCUGGGCUGUGGGGCCAGACUGCCCGCUCCAAUUCCCCCUGGACACUGGGUCUGUUGUUUAACCUCUCUGGGCUUCCCUUACCUAAGCUGGAAAGUGGAUUAAGUGGGUUAAAUGGAUUAAAUUGUAAACUGUUUACAAAUGCUGUCUGGCACGCAGAAG